UCAAUAACAACAACGCAUCUCAACCAGGAUGUUUUGAACCAUGCACGGAACAGGCGCGUAAACAAGUGAGCUUGAAUUCGUGGCAUUCAGCCUCACUGCGUUUCUUGAAACCAAGGAAAUGUCGCAGUAACCUAGAUUUCUAGCUGCAGAUGUAGGUAUAUAUAGCCCUAGUGCAGCAUCACCAUCACAAACACUUGACGUUUGGCAAGAACAAGAUAUCCAAAGAUGACAAAACUCCUCGCCGUUGUAGCCAUGGCCAUGCUGUUUGUGCUGCCCUACGCCCAUGGCAAUGGAGGAAGUUGCUACGCGCCUCCGUUUGUGUUCGGCUCGACGUGCAGGUCGGGUCCGAGUCCCCGGCUCCGCUACUCCGUCAGCGUCACUGGCAAUGCGGGGACACAAGUGUGCUGUGAGGCCAGAACCUGUGACACCAGAGGCUGCAGAAUGAGGAGUAUUGGGUGUGGUAGCUCCACUUUUGGUUCCACUGUCCCAUGGGGGUACAAUAUCGCCACCCCGGCUGUCAGGUGCAAGGGAACGCCUUUCGGAGCCUAUAUCCGCUUUUCACACUGAGAUGGGAUGGACUUCCGGGUUCUUCCGCUUUACCCACUUUGAUGGGACAGGCUUUCAAGCUCAUCCGCCGUUGACACCGAGACACGGUGGAAGCGAUGUAUGCUGAGUGGAAAAAUCCAAGAACACUUCCAAACAAAAAGCUGAAAUAUUUUGUAUAAUGUUAUACACCAAAGAUGUCAUAUUUUAUAUCGGUUGUGAAAAUAAAACAUGCUAACAAAAUA
rnacentral:lncRNA from 1 species